rnacentral:rRNA from 1 species
GGGCCCGCACAAGCGGUGGAGUAUGUGGUUUAAUUCGACGCAACGCGCAGAACCUUACCCAGGCUUGACAUCCUCGGAACCUGAUGGAAACAUCGGGGUGUCCCCUCACGGGGAAGCCGAGUGACAGGUGCUGCAUGGCUGUCGUCAGCUCGUGUCGUGAGAUGUUCGUUAAGUCCGGCAACGAGCGCAACCCCUGUCGUUAGUUGCCAUCAAUUCGGUUGGGCACUUUAAGGAAACUGCCGGUGAUAAGCCGGAGGAAGGUGGGGAUGACGUCAAGUCCUCAUGGCCCUUACAGGCUGGGCUACACACGUGCUACAAUGGCGAUGACAGUGGGCAGCGACCCCGCAAGGGUGAGCUAA